CAGAGACUGCAAGCGUUAUUCGGAUUCACUGGGCGUAAAGGGUGCGCAGGCGGCCGUGUGUGUGAGGCGUGAAAGCCUGGGGCUUAACCCCAGAAUUGCACCUCAAACUACAUGGCUAGAGCAUUGGAGAGGGUAGCAGAAUUCAUGGUGUAGCAGUGAAAUGCGUAGAUAUCAUGAGGAAUACCAGAGGCGAAGGCGGCUACCUGGACAAUUGCUGACGCUCAGGCACGAAAGCGUGGGGAGCAAAAGGGAUUAGAUACCCCUGUAGUCCACGCCCUAAACGGUGCACACUAGGUCUUGGCGGAUUCGACCCCGCCAGGGCCCAAGCUAACGCGUUAAGUGUGCCGCCUGAGGACUACGGCCGCAAGGCUA
rnacentral:rRNA from 1 species